rnacentral:rRNA from 1 species
UACCCGCCAAAUUUAAGCAUAUUAAUAAGCGGAGGAAAAGAAACCAACCGGGAUUCCCUGAGUAAGGGCGACUGAAAGGGGAUGAGCCCAGCGCAUAACCUUGCGGUCUUGUUGUGGCCGUCGAGGGGUGUUGCGUUUUGGUGGAUCCGUACCGCUCGAGUUGCUGACCGCCUAAGUCAUUGCUUGAAUGCAGCCCCGAGGAGGGUGGUAGGCCCGUGUGGCGGCGCCUGUAAAAAGGUUGGAGGCAAUUCGGGCGGAGGGGUCUUUACCGUAGAGUCGGGUUGCUUAGUACUGCAGCCCUAAGUAGGUGGUAAACUCCAUCUAAGGCUAAAUACUACCACGAGUCCGAUAUUUGACAAGUACCGUGAGGGAAAGCUGAAAAGGACUCUG